ensembl:lncRNA
AACAUAAGCGCCAGCGUGGUCGUCUUCUGCAUCAGUGGGGGGAAGAUUCCCCGGUACAAGUUGCGGAACCCAUCCUUCCUCAACUGCAGGAUGGCGUCCCAGGUUUUGAUGCGGUACAGCUGCUGCCGGAAGAAGAUCUUCUGAACGGGAUCGAUGCCUUCUUCUGCUACCAUCAGAGACUUCAUCCACAGGCCUGGAGUAGAUUUCUCCCAUCUAUGCCAGAAUUUUGGCUAUCUUGUUCUACUAUGUGUCUUAUGUCCAACCUGUUUUUUAGCAGUCACAGAAGCAUCGCAUUGAUGGUGUCGGACAAAGAUGAUAGAGAAAUGUUAGAGAAAGCAUAAUUGAUCCCCCUUCUCACCCACAGAGAAUUUCUUCCAUUUACUCUUCACCAGAAAGUCAAAUUUCUGUAGAAUCACCGUGAUCAAGAUCAAUAAUUGUAGAAAGGAUCUUAGUGGAGUCUGAAUGAACUUACAAUGAAUGUCAACAGAAUUGUUGGACUGAAGAAACCAUCAUUAAAGAUAAUUUAUGGGGCUCAUUCCCGUGAAAGCCGACAUAAAUAAUUUCUUCUACAAUUGUACUGUGGUUUUACAAAACAAUCAUUUUCAUUUAUUGUUAAUUACAUUGUGCAUGUGUUUGUUCUGUCAAAAAAAUGAAAACAGAAUUAUGAACUAUUAGAUGCUUUUGUCUCCUGAACUCCAUUCUCCUGUCCCCAUAGGAACAACAAUAUCAACCAACCAGACCCCCCCAAGAGCUCUCAGGGACUAAACUACCAUCUAAAGUGUACACAUUGAGGGACUCAGGGCUCCAGUCACAUAUAUAGCAGAGGAUGGCAUUGUCUGGCAUCAACAGGAGGAGAAGCCCUUGGUCCUGUGAAGGCUCAUUUCCCCAGUGUAGGGGGAACCCCAACAUGAUAAUUGGAUCAAUGUUUCUAAAGUUUACAUCACAACAAAAAAAUGAAAUGGAGAAGGAAAGAGCCACAGAAAACUAG